UUCUGGUCUUCCUAGGAGUAGACAGCAACCCCCACCUACCAUCUCUAGCUAGAUUCUCAUGUUUUCCCCAUGCAAUGGCCAUUUCUGCAGUUACAAUGGCUACAACCU